rnacentral:lncRNA from 1 species
CAAGGUUCUCCAGUUCCUGUAGAUCCAAAGUCCCUGUAGAUCCAUCAUCCCAAGGUUCUUCAUUCCCAAAGAUCUCCAAUCCCAAGGUUCUCCAAUCGCAAGGUUCUCCGGUCCUAAAGAUCUCCAAUCCCAAGGAUCUCCAAGCCCAAGGAUCUCCAAUCCCAAGGAUCUCCAUUCCCAAGGUUCUCCAAUCCCAAGGUUCUACAUUCCCAAAGAUCUCCAAUCCCAAGGUUCUCCAAGCCCAAGGUUCUCCAGUCCCAAGGAGACCAAAUCCCAAGGUUCUCCAGUCCCUGUAGAUCCAAAGUCCCUGUAGAUCCAUCAUCCCAAGGUUCUUCAUUCCCAAAGAUCUCCAAUCCCAAAGUUCUUCGUUUCCAAAGAUCUCCAAUCCCAAGGUUCUCCAAUCCCAAGGUUCUCCAUUCCCAAAGAUCUCCAAUCCCAAGGAUCUCCAAUCCCAAGGUUCUCCAAGCCCAAGGUUCUCCAAUCCCAAAGAUCUCCAGUCCCAAGGAGACCAAAUCCCAAGGAUCUCCAGUCCCUGUAGAUCCAAAGUCCCUGUAGAUCCAUCAUCCCAAGGUUCUCCAGUCCCAAAGAUCUCCAAUCCCAAUUUUCUCCAAUCCCAAGGAUCCCAAAUCCCUUUGGAUCCCAAAUCCCAAGGAUCUCCAAUCGCAAGGAUCUCCAAUCCCAAGGAUCUCCAAUCGCAAGGAUCUCCAAUCCCAAGGUUCUCCAAGCCCAAGGAUCUCCAAUCCCAAGGUUCUUCAUUCCCAAAGAUCUCCAGUCCCAAGGUUCUCCAAUCCCAAGGAUCCCAAAUCCCAAGAUCCCAAAUCCCAAUGAUCUCCAAUCCCAAGGUUCUCCAGUCCCAAGGAUCUCCAAUCGCAAGGAUCUCCAAUUCCAAGGAUCUCCAGUCCAAAGGAUCUCCAGUCCCUGUAGAUCCCAAGUUCCUGUGGAACCACCACCCCAAGGUUCUUCAUUCCCAAGGUUCUCCAAUCCCAAAGAUCUCCAAUCCCAAGGAUCUCCAGGCCCAAGGAGACCCAAAUCCCAAGUCCUCUGCAUUGGGAUGAUCCCGAACCCCUGUAGAUCCUAAAUCCCUUUGGUUCCACCACCAGGCCAUCGAGGAGGGCACCCUGGAGGAGAUCGAGGAGAAGGAGGUCCACCAGAAGUCCUCUGGAUUGAGAUGGUCCUAAGUCUCUGUGGAUCCUAAAUCCCCUUGGUUCCACCACCAGGCCAUCGAGGAGAAGGAGGUCCACCAGAAGUCCUCUGGAUUGAGAUGAUCCCAAAUCCCAAACCCUCUGAGAUUGAGAUGGUCCUAAAUCCCCUUGGUUCCACCACCAGGCCAUCGAGGAGGGCACCCUGGAGGAGAUCCAGGAGAAGGAGGUCCACCAGGAGAAGUCCUCUGGAUUGAGA